rnacentral:rRNA from 1 species
UGGGGAAUAUUGCGCAAUGGGCGAAAGCCUGACGCAGCGACGCUGCGUGAGGGAUGAAGGUUUUCGGAUCGUAAACCUCUGUCAGAAGGGAAGAAACCGCACUGUGCUAAUCAGCAGUGCCUUGACGGUACCUUCAAAGGAAGCACCGGCUAACUCCGUGCCAGCAGCCGCGGUAAUACGGAGGGUGCAAGCGUUAAUCGGAAUUACUGGGCGUAAAGCGCACGUAGGCUGCUUUGUAAGUCAGGGGUGAAAUCCCACGGCUCAACCGUGGAACUGCCUUUGAUACUGCUUAGCUUGAAUCCGGGAGAGGGUGGCGGAAUUCCAGGUGUAGGAGUGAAAUCCGUAGAUAUCUGGAGGAACAUCAGUUGCGAAGGCGGCCACCUGGACCGGUAUUGACGCUGAGGUGCGAAAGCGUGGGGAGCAAACAGG